rnacentral:rRNA from 1 species
GACGAACGCUGGUGGCGUGCUUAACACAUGCAAGUCGAACGAAGAGCGAUGGAAGCUUGCUUCUAUCAAUCUUAGUGGCGAACGGGUGAGUAACGCGUAAUCAACCUGCCCUUCAGAGGGGGACAACAGUUGGAAACGACUGCUAAUACCGCAUACGAUCCAAUCUCGGCAUCGAGACUGGAUGAAAGGUGGCCUCUAUUUAUAAGCUAUCACUGAAGGAGGGGAUUGCGUCUGAUUAGCUAGUUGGAGGGGUAACGGCCCACCAAGGCGAUGAUCAGUAGCCGGUCUGAGAGGAUGAACGGCCACAUUGGGACUGAGACACGGCCCAGACUCCUACGGGAGGCAGCAGUGGGGAAUCUUCCGCAAUGGACGAAAGUCUGACGGAGCAACGCCGCGUGAGUGAUGACGGCCUUCGGGUUGUAAAGCUCUGUUAAUCGGGACGAAUGGUUCUUGUGCAAAUAGUGCGAGGAUUGAC